rnacentral:rRNA from 1 species
AUGAACGCGCUCGUCAGCGCGGCGCUAUGGGUGGUCGGCAAGGCAUUGGCCCCAGUAACUGAUGGCCUGCUGGAGGCUUGGGAUGCCACCAAGAAGCUAGGUCUCAACAUUGAGUCCCUCAAGAUGGAGCUGUUGCUCCUGAAGGCCACACUUGAACUCGCUGGCAGCAAGCAGAUCCAUGGCCAGGCCAUUGAGGACCUGCUAGUGAUGUUACGAGACUCGGCCCACCGUGCCGAGGACUUGUUGGACGAGCUGGACUACUUCCGCAUCCAGGAUGAGCUCCACGGCACUUGCGAUGCCGCUGACCAACAUGGCAAGGGUGGAGUCCACGAUCUUGCCUUCCAUGGUCGUCAUGCUGCCACAGCUGUUGGCAAACGGGUUAGCUGUUGCGCUUGGCCACGUGCUUGGCAGAGGUCAGUCAGCAAUUCCUCCUCAGUACCGAACACCAAUCAGGAGGUGUUCUUAUGGAUGUUCUUGUAG